rnacentral:siRNA from 1 species
UAAAAAAAACAACGAUGCCA